rnacentral:rRNA from 1 species
GACAGAGGGGGCAAGCGUUGCUCGGAAUUACUGGGCGUAAAGGGCGCGUAGGCGGGAUGGCAAGUCGGUCGUGAAAUCCCUCGGCUCAACCGAGGAACGUCGAUCGAUACUGCUGUUCUUGAGGAUUGCAGAGGAGACUGGAAUUCCCGGUGUAGCGGUGAAAUGUGUAGAGAUCGGGAGGGACACCGGUGGCGAAGGCGGGUCUCUGGGCAAUUCCUGACACUGAGGCACGAAGGCCAGGGGAGCAAACGGG